rnacentral:rRNA from 1 species
UACGAAGGGGGCUAGCGUUGCUCGGAAUGACUGGGCGUAAAGGGCGCGUAGGCGGCGCACUCAGUCCGGCGUGAAAGCCCUGGGCUCAACCUGGGGACUGCGCUGGAGACGGGUGUGCUCGAGGGUGGAAGAGGCGUCGCGGAAUUCCCAGUGUAGAGGUCGAAAUUCGUAGAUAUUGGGAAGAACACCGGUGGCGAAGGCGGCGAGCUGGUCCGAUCACUGACGCUGAGGCGCGACAGCGUGGGGAGCAAACAGG